ACCAGCGUAGUGUAGUGGUUUGAACACUGGACUGUGACUCUGGUGACCAGGGUUUUGAAUCCCAGCUUGGCC